UCCGAAGGGGGCUAUCGUUGUUCGGAAUUACUGGGCGUAAAGCGGGUGUAGGUGGAUUGCUCAGUCAGGGGUGAAAGCCCGGGGCUCAACCCCGGAAUUGCCUUUGAUACUGGCAGUCUUGAGUCUGGGAGAGGGAUGCGGAAUUCCGAGUGUAGAGGUGAAAUUCGUAGAUAUUCGGAGGAACACCAGCGGCGAAGGCGGCAUCCUGGAACAUGACUGACACUGAGACCCGAAAGCGUGGGGAGAAAACAGG
rnacentral:rRNA from 1 species